rnacentral:rRNA from 1 species
GGGCGUCUCUAUCUCAUCGCGAGAGGAGGCGCACCUAUAGCGUACACGCUGAUACCCGAAAGAUGGUGAACUAUGCCCGGCCAGGACGAAGCCAGGGGAAACCCCGGUGGAGGUCCGCAGCGAUUCUGACGUGCAAAUCGAUCGUCGGAGCUGGGUUUAGGGGCGAAAGACCAAUCGAACCAUCUAGUAGCUGGUUCCCUCUGAAGUUUCCCUCAGGAUAGCUUGCGCUCGGACGGAACGAGUCUCAUCCGGUAGAGCGAAUGAUUAGAGGCCUUGGGGUCGAAACGACCUCAACCUAUUCUCAAACUCCAAAUAGAUGAGAACCCUGGCUUUCUUGAAUUAUGAAGCCAAGGGGUUUCGGAUCAGAGUGCCAAGUGGGCCAAUUUU